GGCAGAGGCAGCAGUGUGCUGCUUGAAGUUGAGGGAGUAACAUCACCUGGCUGAGCUGCUGCUCACAACAUCUUGGAGAGUGAACUGCUUCCUCUUGAAGGACUAAUCUACUCUAAUGCAGGUGCAGAAGGCUUGGAAUUGGCACAGAUCUAUAGCAAGAGUGAGAGCAUGAUAUGAGGAAUCAACCAACCUCUGAGGAUGGAACCAACCCCCACCCCUAAUGUCAAUGUUUUUAUUCUGAGGAGGGAGAAAUAAUAGAGCCUGAGGAAUAAGAGUUUCUGUAGGCCCCAAGAAAAAAUAAAUACAUUCCAGUUUUCUGUGCAGCACUA